CAUAGCAUUUGCAAAAGUAGACAAUCCAAGGUAUUGCAAGUGGGCAAUGUCCAGUCUUUCUUAGCAGCCACUUAGUCACAAACACUGGCCAAAUAUUUUUUUUUUUGCUUUUUUCACACAAAAACAAAUAUGAACGCUAAUUUUGGCCAGUGUUUGUGACUAAGUGGCUACUAAAAAAGACUAAACAUACCCCACUUUCAAUACCUUGGGUUGUCUACUUUUUCAAAUGGUAUG
rnacentral:miRNA from 1 species